rnacentral:snRNA from 1 species
AGCUUCAUGCGGUGACAGUAUCGUAGCCAAUGAGGUUUAUCCAAGGAGCGAUUAUUGCUAAUUGAAAGCUUUUCCUUAUACCCGGCCGUGACCACUUGCAAUAUCGUUGGCACUGGCAAUUUUUGACAGUCUCUAUGGAGA